CUGCCUUGUUCAGGGGCAGAACGACAGAUUUUCACCUUGUCAGCUCGGGGGAUUCAGUCUUGCAACCUUACAGUUAACUAGUCCAACGCUCUAACCACCUGCCUCUCAUUGCACUCCACGAGGAGCCUGCCUGUUACGCGAAUGCAGUAGAAGCCAAGUGGAAGAAGUGGAUGGAAGAUUCUCAGGACACAGUACACCUAGGCCAGGAAGGAGGCACCCUCAGGUAGUGCUGGUGGAAGGGCUAUAGGAAGACACAUCUCCAUCCUUCAGCACUUUCUGGAGCCCCAUACUGCAUAAUGGAUGAGGCCCAUCCAGCAACAGGCGGUACAGCCUGCAUUUCCCCCCUCAUAUGAAGCCAAACACCAGUCAGCAAAACCACAAUAACUCGUGGGUUGGGAUGGCUCCUUGUACAAGCACCCGAAGGCACAAUGACGAGGAGGAAGAUUAGUUUGGGAAGGUAGAGGACCAUGACUCUCUCAGCACCAUUUAGAAGGCCCUGGAUAAAUUCUGCCAUGCUGAUGAGGAUGGUUCCUUUUGGCUGAUCCCUGGAGUGAAGAACACAAAGCCUUUUACCAACAGCUGGUGGAUGAGAUUGGGGCACACUGCCAGAUGAUGCACCAACAACAGUAGCUAGUGAACCAGCAGCUGCCCCUAUCUCCAUGUAAUGAAAUCACCAUCAAUAUUGCACAGACCAUUUUGUUUUCUUCAUCUUAUUGCAUGUUUAUAUACACGUUCCCUUUGUUUCAUUACAAGGGGUUAUGCUUUUUUUUCAUUAUUUGGGGUUAUUCUUAACUUUUUUAGUUGUACA
ensembl:lncRNA